CGGGUGAGUAACACGUGGGAAACCUGCCCUUCGGUGGGGGAUAAGCCCUUGAAAAGGGGUCUAAUACCGCAUAACAUCGGAAAUUCGCAUGUUUUUCCGAUCAAAGCAGCAAUGCACCGGAGGAUGGUCCCGCGCCUGAUUAGCUUGUUGGCGGGGUAAAAGCCCACCAAGGCGACGAUCAGUAGCCGGCCUGAGAGGGUGAACGGCCACACUGGGACUGAGAUACGGCCCAGACUCCUACGGGAGGCAGCAGUAGGGAAUAUUGCGCAAUGGCCGCAAGGCUGACGCAGCAACGCCGCGUGGGUGAUGAAGCUCUUCGGAGUGUAAAACCCUUUCGGUGGGGACGAAUUCCUUUAUUGGUUUGACGGUACCCACAUAA
rnacentral:rRNA from 1 species